AUUGAACGCUGGCGGCAGGCCUAACACAUGCAAGUCGAGCGAGAAAGGUCUUCGGACUGAGUACAGCGGCGGACGGGUGAGUAAAGCGUAGGAAUCUACCUGGUAGUGGGGGAUAACUUGGGGAAACUCAAACUAAUACCGCAUACGCCUACGGGGAAGGACGGGGACCGUUCGGGCCGUCGCGCUAUCAGAUGAGCCUGCGUAGGAUUAGCUAGUUGGUGAGGUAAAGGACUCACCAAGGACGACGAUCCUUAGCUGGUCUGAGAGGAUGAUCAGCCACACUGGGACUGAGACACGGCCCAGACUCCUACGGGAGGCAGCAGUGGGGAAGU
rnacentral:rRNA from 1 species